AUGCUUGCUUCAGUAGCAUAUAUACUAAAAUUGGAAUGAUACAGAGAAGAUUAGCAUGGCUCCUUCACAAGGAUGA
rnacentral:snRNA from 1 species